rnacentral:piRNA from 1 species
UGUCACGUGUGUGGCAAGAUGCUGAGCUC